ACAAAACAAAUGUAUCAUGUUACGUAUAUUUUAUUGUUAUCGAAACAUUCAUAUAUAUUAUGAUAUUUGUUUUGAAUCUGAACAUCUUCGUUCGUUUGUACAAGCACACAUGAAGUCACUCGUAUUUUUUUUCAAAUCAAAUCAAGGUCCAGAGAAUGUUAACCUUUGUUUGUAUGAUAUUUCGUUUUGGUCCUGUCACUUACAGAUGAGUACAAUUUACAGAUAUGUUAUAUCAUAAAAACACAUAUCGUUCUUUAAAAAAAGGGACGAAAAAUACCAGAGGCACAGUCAAACUCACAGAUUAAAAAUAAACUGCCAACGAUAUGGCUGAAAAUAAAAAGACAAACAGACAAAUAAUAAUAAAGAAGAC
rnacentral:lncRNA from 1 species